rnacentral:rRNA from 1 species
UACGUAGGGGGCGAGCGUUGUCCGGAAUUAUUGGGCGUAAAGAGCUCGUAGGCGGUCCGUCGCGUCGAAUGUGAAAACCCGGGGCUCAACCCCGGGCCUGCAUUCGAUACGGGCGGACUAGAGUUCGGUAGGGGAGACUGGAAUUCCUGGUGUAGCGGUGAAAUGCGCAGAUAUCAGGAGGAACACCGGUGGCGAAGGCGGGUCUCUGGGCCGAUACUGACGCUGAGGAGCGAAAGCGUGGGGAGCAAACAGG